rnacentral:rRNA from 1 species
AGUGAACGCUGGCGGCAGGCCUAACACAUGCAAGUCGAACGGAAGCACAGUAAGAGCUUGCUCCUACGGGUGGCGACUGGCGGGUGGGUGAGGAGUAGAUCGCCAUCUACUUUUUCUUGGGGGACAACGGGGGGACAGAUACGCUAAUAGAGCAUAUGAUGUACGGGUGGGAUCAGUGGAUCUUGGGGCCUUGCGUGAUUCAAUGAGACGAUGUCGGGUUAGCUAGUUGGGGGGGUAAAGGCACACCAAGGCGACGAUCCGUAGCUGGUCUGAGAGGAUGAUCAGCCACACUGGAACUGAGACACGGUCCAGACUCCUACGGGAGGCAGCAGUGGGGAAUAUUGGACAAUGGGCGAAAGCCUGAUCCAGCCAUGCCGCGUGAGUGAAGAAGGUCUUCGGAUUGUAAAGCCCUUUUAUUAGGGAAGAAAAGCAGUAAGUUAAUCCCUCGCUGUUUUGACGGUACCCAAAGAAUAAGCACCGGCUAACUUCGUG